CCUACAGGGGGCAGCAGUGGGGAAUAUUGGACAAUGGGGGGAACCCUGAUCCAGCGACGCCGCGUGAGUGAAGAAGUAUUUCGGUAUGUAAAGCUCUAUCAGCAGGGAAGAAAGGAAUGACGGUACCUGACUAAGAAGCCCCGGCUAACUACGUGCCAGCAGCCGCGGUAAGACGUAGGGGGCAAGCGUUAUCCGGAUUUACUGGGUGUAAAGGGAGCGUAGACGGUUACGCAAGUCUGGAGUGAAAGGCGGGGGCCCAACCCCCGGACUGCUUUGGAAACUGGAUAACUGGAGUGCAGGAGAGGUAAGUGGAAUUCCUAGUGUAGCGGUGAAAUGCGUAGAUAUUAGGAGGAACACCAGUGGCGAAGGCGGCUUACUGGACUGUAACUGACGUUGAGGCUCGAAAGUGUGGGGAGCAAACAGGAUUAGAUACCCGAGUAGUC
rnacentral:rRNA from 1 species